rnacentral:rRNA from 1 species
CGCUGGCGGCAGCCUAACACAUGCAAGUCGAACGUGAUCCAGGCUUCGGUCUGGUGAAAGUGGCAGACGGGUGAGUAACGCGUGGGAACCUGCCCUGUGGUAGGGAAUAACCGCGGGAAACUGCGGCUAAUACCCUAUGAGUCCUUCGGGAGAAAGAUUUAUCGCCAUAGGAGGGGCCCGCGUCGGAUUAGGUAGUUGGUGGGGUAACGGCCUACCAAGCCUUCGAUCCGUAGCUGGUCUGAGAGGAUGAUCAGCCACACUGGGACUGAGAUACGGCCCAGACUCCUACGGGAGGCAGCAGUGGGGAAUAUUGGACAAUGGGGGCAACCCUGAUCCAGCAAUGCCGCGUGGGUGAUGAAGGCCUUCGGGUUGUAAAGCCCUUUCGGCGGGGAAGAUGAUGACGGUACCCGCAGAAGAAGCCCCGGCUAACUUCGUGCCAGCAGCCGCGGUAAUACGAAGGGGGCUAGCGUUGUUCGGAAUUACUGGGCGUAAAGGGCGCGUANGCUGUGCUGUAAGUCAGGCGUGAAAGGCCCGGGCUC